GGGUGCCUGCAACCCCAAGGCCCCAGAGGUCCUGACCAUAGCAAAAGUUCUAUGCCAAGCACCGGGUCAGAUGCUAAAGCCACAUCUUAGAAAAGACGCUGACCACGUGAUUAGUGGUGGAAGAGAUCCAAGUUACCCUGAGUUACCAGCAGUGUAUCCAUGCGGAUGUGCAGCAACUUCAGUCCAUCCAUCCUCAGAAGAAAGAAUUCAACUGAGGGACAUAAAGCAGAAAAAGAGACUGAGG
rnacentral:lncRNA from 1 species